rnacentral:rRNA from 1 species
UACGAAGGGGGGCUAGCGUUGUUCGGAUUUACUGGGCGUAAAGCGCACGUAGGCGGAUCGUUAAGUCGGGGGUGAAAUCCUGGAGCUCAACUCCAGAACUGCCUUCGAUACUGGCGAUCUUGAGUCCGGAAGAGGUGAGUGGAACUCCUAGUGUAGAGGUGGAAUUCGUAGAUAUUAGGAAGAACACCAGUGGCGAAGGCGGCUCACUGGUCCGGUACUGACGC